GAUGAGGACAUCCCUUCCAACGAUACAACCACGCCUAUUGCACAGCAAGGACCAAUGACUAGAGCUCGAGCUCGUGAACUUAAUUAUCAGGUAAAGUCAUUCCUAGCUAAUCAUACAAGUUCUUCUCAGAAUUGGGUGCUACUAAAUGGUUGUUGUGAUCUACUUGUUGUUAGGAAUAUGGGAGAGGAACCAAAUCGCAAGCAGCACUAGCAGCGCUGAUUUGAUGAAGUCAAUGCUCUUCACUCCGGAGGGCAAACGGGGCAAAUGAGUACUUGUUGGAAAGAUCUCGUCGUCUACUUUCAGCUAUGUGUGACCUCACCAUCAACUUUGACCCAGGCUGCUCAGAAUGACGAAAAUAGUUCUUUACAUCAGAAACUUGCGCUUGGGCCUUGUAUCAUUACAGCCCAUUAGGGGUCCACAAAACCUAGGGUUUGCUCCCACCUCCUCUCCUGGUCAUUCCUCCACCUAUAUAAACUCCUAGCAGCCACCAUUUUGCACUUUGGGUUUUGUUUUGAUGUAAGUUUAGCUGCAGCUACUUCCUUGUACUCGCGUGUGUCGGCUAGACCACCCGGAUACUUGUAUUCAGAACCCCAUUUUGGUUUGUUUAAGUUUCAUCAUUUGACAAGUGCCGUGAGCUGUUUCCUUGUCAACUUGUUCUUGCUUGUUCUUCGAUUGCUUGCAGGUUCAAGGUUGUUCUUGGCACGGCAAGAACAGCAACAACGUGGAGUCAGUGUACCGGUUGCUAAGGCGCAGCACCCCUGUGGUAGUUGUAGUCGGACCGCCAACGUCGUAUCCUUCCCCAAAUCGAAGUUUAUCCUCCUCUCAUCGAAAGAUCGGGAACCCCCGUUGCUGCAUCAAGUGGUAUCAGAGCUCAAGUUGCUCGGUGAGAGAUUUUAUCACUUCUUUGUUUUUACCUACAGCCCAAAAGAAAAACCACUAAAAUAGGUCAGACCCGAAAUCACCAAAACAUGUUGAGCCUUUGCUGUUCUACUUAGUCUUUGCUUGCUGAGUUUUCGAUUGCAUCGAUUGGCUGAGUUGCUGGUUCUAGUAGUUUAGUCCUUUAGAGUUUCGAGUUCUGCUCACGAUUUCGUCACCGCAAACACUUCCACCAUCACUUCAUUUAUGUUCAUCCCGCUGCCACCAUCACCACCAUAUUCACCACGAAAUCCACCUCCAACCCCACCAAAUUUCGUCCACCACAACCAGCAGCAUCCUCAUCACCACAUCAGCCACCCCCAAAUGCAUUUAUUGCUGCCUCCACCAACAGCCAACCCUUUUGCAACUUUUUGAAGUGAAUCAGCCCUUCCCAAGAAAGCAUUUAAGUGCUCUCACUUUUGACUUGUUGGCUGAAUCAUGUAACUAGCCAACCAACCCAUCAUUACUUCUUGUUUUGAUUUGUUGGCUGAAGCUUGUGAAAUUUCGAAAAUAUUUGAGAAAAGGUUAUUUUGCUAAGGCUUGUUUUGACUUGUUGGCUGAAGCUUUGAGCUUGCUGUACAAAAAAUAAAGAAAGAAAACAAAAAAAAAGAAAGAAAAAAAAAUCAGAAGUGAAGAGAAGAAAACAAAAAAAGGAAGGGAAGAGAGGAAGUUGUUGUUGUUGCUGUUUUGUUUGUGUUAUUUUCGUGCUAUUUUGAGUGGCUACGCUUGUGACUAGGCUCGCGUCUCUAAAGGGUUUUGCCUAGGACCAGCACAAUACCAUCGUUGAAUGAUUAUUCAACUUGCUUUGAAUAAUGUGGUUCUAGCUGUACCUUGAUAUUACUUGCAGCCACCUAUAGCUCCACAAAUUUUUAUCUACUAUAUCACAGGAUCGUGCUUGUUGUCGGCUCCGGUACUACUAAUCGUUGUUGCUGUUCUUGCUGUUUGCCAACGCCUUUUACAUAACAAAGUAAGAACAUGUAAGAACUCGUUUGCACAAGUUUGGUAGAAGUGGAGAUGGACAACACCUAGCUCCAAUAGUUGAUAGGACAUAUUUCUUGUGAAUUGUUUCUUCCCAUUAACCAUGACAGGAGGAUCGGGGGAGCACCCUCAACAUUCACCACGUACGAGGGGCAUCAUACAACAUUUUGAGCGCCAAGUGAGGGAGCAUGCUGAAGGCCUUGAUGAGGAUGUUAGGGUCGCCAAUGAUCGCCUUGGUCAAUUGGAGGCUGCUCAAAUUGACACCAACUCCAAGCUUUCCUCAUUGGAGAGGUCCCUUGUGGCUGUGAACACUUCUCUUGCAGGUAUCUUGAAUACGUUGGAGAGAAUGGGCCAAGAUGGUCAUGAUGGAUCGGCUAGGCGCAACCACAAUGGCCAUGAUGCUAAUAGCAGCAUCGCAGCAAGGGAAGAACUGGAGUACGCUGCUGACACUGAGCAUGAUGAGGAGGUACUUGGUCGUCCACAAAGACAACAGCGCCGGCAGCGCCAUGGCAUGGGCGCUCCACCACGGCGGGAGGUACGUGAUAAUGAUGAUUCUUUAGGCAAGAUCAAGUUUACCAUUCCUUGCUUUGAUGGAAAAUAUGACCCUGAUGCAUAUCUUACUUGGGAGUUAGCCAUUGAUCAGAAAUUUGCUUGCCAUGAUUUUCCUGAGAAUAAACGUGUUAGGGCUGCUACUAGUGAGUUCACUGAUUUUGCAUCCAUUUGGUGGAGUGAAUUUGUUCGUUCCAAUCCAAAUAACACUCCCCAAACCUGGGAUGCAAUGAAAAGAGUCAUGCGAGCUAGAUUUGUUCCUUCAUAUCAUGCACGUGAUUUGCUGCACAAAUUGCAACAACUUAGACAGGGAAACAAAUCUGUAGAGGAGUAUUAUCAAGCUUUGCAAAUAGGAAUGCUUCGUUGUGGAUUGGUAGAAAAUGAUGAUGCUGGUAUGGCUAGAUUCAUGGGUGAGCUGAACCGAGAAAUUCAGGACAUUCUAGCCUACAAAGAAUAUAAUUCAAUUAAUCGUUUGUUUCAUCUUGCUUGUAAAGCUGAAAGGGAAGUACAGGGACGAAGAGCUAGCUUCAGGACUAACAUUUCUGCAGGUUGUGCUAGCUCUUGGACAUCUUCCAACGCUGCUGCACCGUCAACUUGAGCAGCAGCACCAUCGUCCUCAAGCAACAAGCUGCGUCCCUCUACAACAAACUCUACACCAUGCCCGAGUGAACCAACAAGAGGGGUUGCUGCUACACCUUCCAAGAGCUCAUCAUCAGUAGCUUCAUUAGGAAGGACAAGAGAUAUUCAGUGCCUACGCUGCAAGGGCUAUGGUCACGUGCGCAAGGACUGCCCAAGCACUCGUGUAAUGAUCGUGAGAGCUGAUGGUGGGUACUCCUCCGCUAGUGAUUUAGAUGAAGAAACCUACGCUUUGCUUGCAACUAACAAUGCAGGGGAAGGUGACGCGCCCCACCAAGAUGAGGAACACAUUAAAGCUGAAGCUGCAGAGCACUAUGAGAGCCUCGUGGUGCAGCGAGUGCUAAGCGCACAAAUGGAAAGGGCUGAACAGAAUCAGCGCCACACCUUGUUUCAAACCAAGUGUGUGAUCAAGGAACGCUCUUGCCGCGUGAUCAUAGAUGGAGGAAGCUGCAAUAAUUUGGCUAGUGCUGAAAUGGUGGAGAAACUUGCAUUGAGCACACAGCCACAUCCGCAGCCCUACUAUAUUCAAUGGCUUAAUAGCAGCGGCAAGGUAAAGGUAACACGAUUGGUAAGAGUACAUUUUGCCAUUGGUUCUUAUCAUGAUUCAAUCAACUGUGAUGUUGUGCCUAUGCAAGCAUGUUCUAUGUUAUUAGGUAGGCCAUGGCAGUUUGAUAAAGAUUCUUUACACUUUGGCAAAUCCAAUCAAUACUCCUUUGUGCAUAAUGGAAAAAAACUUGUGUUACAUCCUAUGUCUCCUGAAGUUAUUUUAAAGGAUGAACUUGCUAGAGCUAGCAAACAAAAAAAAUCAGGAGCAUACUAGGAGUGAGCAUCUUAUUGCGGCUAAUGAACUUGAGAAGCAUAAGAAGAAACCCACCAACUCUGUUCAAAAUAAUAAAAAUGAGAUUAAGCUGAAGGGAUCUUGUUUCAUUGCAACAAAAUCAGAUUUGGAUGAAGUUGACACUGACACUGUUGUUUGCUAUGCUUUGGUUUGCAAAGAAACCUUAUUUCCAAUUGAGGAUACUCCUAUUUCUUUGCCUCCUCCGGUCACUAACCUUUUGCAGGAGUAUGCUGAUAUUUUCCCAAAGGAGGUUCCACCGGGGCUGCCACCAAUUCGAGGGAUUGAGCACCAAAUUGACCUCAUUCCUGGGGCCUCUCUGCCAAACCGUGCGCCAUACAGGACCAACCCGGAGGAAACAAAGGAGAUUCAGCGUCAAGUGCAAGAGUUACUCGACAAGGGGUAUGUACGUGAGUCUCUUAGUCCUUGUUCUGUCCCCGUGCUUUUAGUUCCUAAGAAAGAUGGCUCAUGGCGCAUGUGUGUGGAUUGUAGAGCAAUUAACAACAUCACAAUCAGAUAUCGUCAUCCUAUCCCUAGGCUAGAUGAUAUGCUUGAUGAAUUGAGUGGUUCACUUGUGUUCUCUAAAAUUGAUUUGUGUAGUGGUUACCACCAGAUUCGCAUGAAGUUAGGAGAUGAAUGGAAAACAGCUUUUAAAACUAAAUUCGGCCUAUAUGAGUGGUUAGUCAUGCCCUUUGGUCUCACUAAUGCACCCAGUACUUUCAUGAGAUUAAUGAAUGAAGUUUUACGUGCUUUCAUUGGAAGAUUUGUGGUGGUAUAUUUUGAUGACAUUCUCAUAUAUAGCAGAUCAAUAGAGGAUCAUCAUGGUCAUUUGCGUGCUGUUUUUGAUGCUCUACGAGAUGCACGUUUAUUUGGUAACCUUGAGAAGUGCACAUUUUGCACAGAUCGAGUCUCUUUUCUUGGCUAUGUUGUGACUCCGCAGGGAAUUGAAGUAGAUCAAGCCAAGGUUGAAGCCAUACAUAGCUGGCCGGUUCCAACAACGAUCACACAAGUGAGAAGCUUUCUAGGACUUGCUGGGUUCUACCGCCUCUUUGUGAAGGAUUUUAGCACCAUUGCAGCCCCAUUACAUGAGCUUACCAAGAGAAAUGUCACAUUCACUUGGGCUGCAGCACAAAGGAAUGCAUUCGACACUUUGAAAGAUAAGUUAACACACGCUCCUUUACUCCAACUUCCUGAUUUCAACAAAACUUUUGAGCUUGAAUGUGAUGCUAGUGGGAUUGGAUUGGGUGGUGUGUUGUUACAAGAAGGCAAACCUGUAGCAUAUUUCAGCGAGAAAUUGAGUGGACCUAGUUUGAAUUAUUCUACUUAUGAUAAGCAAUUGUUUGCUCUAGUGCGAACAUUGGAAACAUGGCAGCAUUAUUUAUGGCCCAAAGAAUUUGUUAUACACUCUGAUCAUGAAUCUUUGAAACACAUUCGAAGUCAAGCAAAACUUAACCGUAGGCAUGCUAAAUGGGUUGAAUUUAUUGAAUCUUUUCCAUAUGUCAUCAAACAUAAGAAGGGAAAAGAAAAUGUCAUUGUUGAUGCUUUGUCUAGACGUUACGCAAUGCUAUCCCAACUUGACUUCAAAAUUUUUGGCUUAGAAACAAUAAAAGAGCAAUAUGCGCACGAUGAUGAUUUUAAAGAUGUGUUGUUGAAUUGCAAGGAGGGAAGGACUUGGAACAAAUUCGUUCUCACCAAUGGGUUUGUGUUUAGAGCUAAUAAGUUAUGCAUUCCAGCUAGCUCCGUGCAUAUGCUAUUAUUGCAGGAAGCGCAUGGUGGAGGGCUGAUGGGACACUUUGGUGUGAAGAAGACGGAGGAUAUCCUUGCUGAUCAUUUGUUUUGGCCUAAGAUGAGGAGAGACGUGGAGAGGUUCGUUGCUCGCUGCACAACAUGCCAAAAAGCUAAGUCACGCCUUAACCCUCAUGGUUUGUAUAUGCCUUUGCCUGUUCCUAGUGUGCCUUGGGAGGAUAUUUCUAUGGACUUUGUUUUAGGGCUGCCUAGAACAAAGAAGGGGAGGGACAGUAUCUUUGUUGUUGUAGAUAGAUUUUCUAAGAUGGCGCAUUUCAUACCUUGUCAUAAGAGUGAUGAUGCUACACAUGUUGCUGAUUUGUUCUUUCGUGAGAUUGUUCGCUUGCAUGGAGUGCCAAACACCAUAGUUUCUGAUCGCGAUACAAAAUUCCUUAGUCAUUUUUGGAGAACCUUGUGGGCUAAGUUGGGGACUAAACUUUUAUUUUCUACUACAUGUCACCCCCAAACUGAUGGACAAACUGAGGUGGUGAAUAGAACAGUAUCUACAAUGCUUAGGGCUGUUUUGAAAAAGAAUAUUAAAAUGUGGGAAGAAUGUUUGCCUCAUGUUGAGUUUGCUUAUAAUCGUUCACAACAUUCUACUACUAAGAAGUGCCCUUUUGAGAUUGUUUAUGGCCUUCUACCCCGUGCUCCAAUUGAUCUUUUGCCCCUCCCAACUUUAGAGAGAGUGAACUUUGAUGCAAAAUAUCGCGCUGAAUUGAUGUUAAAACUGCAUGAGACCACUAAGGAGAACAUAGAGCGCAUGAAUAUUAAGUAUAAACUUGCUGGGAGCAAAGGAAAGAAACAUGUUGCUUUUGAACCUGGUGAUUUGGUUUGGUUGCAUUUGAGAAAGGAUAGGUUCCCUAAUUUGAGAAAAUCUAAGUUGCCACCUAGAGCUGAUGGUCCUUUCCAAGUGCUACAAAAGAUUAAUGACAAUGCAUACAAGCUUGAGCUACCUGCCGAUUUUGGGGUUAGCCCCACGUUUAACAUUGCAGAUUUAAAGCCAUAUUUGGGAGAAGAAGAUGAGUUAGAGUCGAGGACGACUCAAAUGCAAGAAGGGGAGGAUGAUGAGGACAUCCCUUCCAACGAUACAACCACGCCUAUUGCACAGCAAGGACCAAUGACUAGAGCUCGAGCUCGUGAACUUAAUUAUCAGGUAAAGUCAUUCCUAGCUAAUCAUACAAGUUCUUCUCAGAAUUGGGUGCUACUAAAUGGUUGUUGUGAUCUACUUGUUGUUAGGAAUAUGGGAGAGGAACCAAAUCACAAGCAGCACUAGCAGCGCUGAUUUGAUGAAGUCAAUGCUCUUCACUCCGGAGGGUAAACGGGGCAAAUGAGUACUUGUUGGAAAGAUCUCGUCGUCUACUUUCAGCUAUGUGUGACCUCACCAUCAACUUUGACCCAGGCUGCUCAGAAUGACGAAAAUAGUUCUUUACAUCAGAAACUUGGGCUUGGGCCUUGUAUCAUUACAGCUAGGGGUGAAAACGGUAACGGUAAUUACCGGCCGACCGGCGUUCGUUUUCGACUUUCUACCGGCCGAGCCAUAUGGAAAUGGUAAUCGACCGAAACAAAAAUAGAAAUGGUAAAAAAUAUAGAAAUGAAAACGGAAAUGGUUUUGCUGUUAUACCGAUCGUUUCCGUAUUUACCGUAUUCUUGCGGAAAUUACCGUUUCUUAUAAUAUGGUAAUUACCGUAUUCUAAAUAUGUCGAUAUUAUAGGACAUGUCUAUACUUUACCCACAGCUUAUAGAUUGAAUGACUCUUCAAUAAAAUCUCUAACUUUUAUACAUGGCUAAAAUGAAGUUAAUUUAUAAUUUAUAUAGUAUAAGCUUGAAUUUAUGUAUAUAUAUAACAUACUUAUGUAAAGUUAAAUAUAUAUUUUUAUAGUUUAAUGUUUCCGUAUUUGUUACCAGUUUCCGAUCUGUACCGACAUGUUUCCGUCCGUAUUGUUCCGUUUCUGGUUUUCCGAUAUUUCCGAUAUCGUUUUCGUUUCCGACUUUACCGUUUUCGAUUUUAUUUCCGAGAAAAAUAUGGUUACGGAAAUGGUUGAGGCUGUUUUCCGAUCGUUUCCGACCGUUUUCAUCCCUAAUUACAGCCCAUUAGGGGUCCACAAAACCUAGGGUUUGCUCCCACCUCCUCUCCUGGUCAUUCCUCCACCUAUAUAAACUCCUAGCAGCCACCAUUUUGCACUUUGGGUUUUGUUUUGAUGUAAGUUUAGCUGCAGCUACUUCCUUGUACUCGCGUGUGUCGGCUAGACCACCCGGAUACUUGUAUUCAGAACCCC
rnacentral:lncRNA from 1 species